rnacentral:lncRNA from 1 species
GAGGAUUCUAGCCCAUCAAUUCCCUCUAUAUUAGCAACAAUGAACCUGCAGACUAUAAAUAUCAAUAUACAGUAUGAUAAAAUUGAUCUCGUAUAGACUGAGCAAUGUCCAAAUGUAGAAGAAACACUUGCUGUUACUAAAAAACAUAACUCCAUAUUUUGUGCGCAAACGGUGGCCAAACAAAAUUCCGUUGUCUAUGCUUUUUGAUUCCAAGUUUAAGAAAGGGCCAAACAUUGGGCAUCCUCAUCCUCAUCUGUUAUAGUAACAAAUUCACAUUCCCAUUAGUGUUUACACCUCAAAACUCAACUCCAACUUGAUCAAAUUUACUUUCAAAACAUAACUUGAUUCAAGAUAAAAAUCAACUUGGACUUCUUUACCUAGCAAAAGAUGAACAUGAUUCUCAAAAAUCCAAGGUUUUCGAAACCGGACUAAUAGUAAAACUGAUCAGGCCACCGAUUCAUUGGUUCAACCGGUGCAAUUAAAUAAAUCAUUAAAAAGUUCAUAAUAAAUAAAAACCUGAUUCAACGGCCAGGUUCAACCAGUUUCUCGCCCAAUACAAUCAUCCAUACCGGUUCCUGGGUCAAUCGAUUCAAUGCCCUUCUCCGAACCAAGAUCCUGGUCCGAUUCAAACAACCUUGACUAAACCUAAAAAAUUAUUUGUCUUAAGUUCGGAUUUCAAUUGGUAUUUUCAAUAUUAGUUCAAAAAAAGAAAAACCCUUAAUGUAAACUUACAAACCACUCUAAGUCGGACAUUAAGGUAUUUAAAUUCGGCUUACUCAAUAGCCCAAGCUUGGCCAACCAAUAUUUAAACCGAAUUCCGCUAACUUUAGCAAAACCAAAACAUGAAAAUCUCAAUUGUAAAUAAGUUAGUGAUAAAUUUCAACCAAAAAGGGAAAAAACAUGAAGGAAGCAAUAGAAGUAGAAAAAUAACUGGAUUCAUAUAAUCAUAUGAUUAUUUAUAGACACCAUUGGUCACAACCUCAAAAAUACCAUGGACCGAUUUCGUACAAACAACAAGAUUGAUCCAAUGAUUAUCAUCACGAUGCACCAAUUCUACACAUCCACAUUUAGUAAGGCUGCUUUUUCAAUUUUGAUAUGUAAAACACUAAUGACUAAUUAAGCAACUCAGAUAAAGAAAAGGAUGUUGUUAAUGUGCAUAUAUGACCAGAUUAGAUAGACCAGAAUUCUGAUGCCGACAAUUUUUAUUUCUAUAACUAAAACCAUGGGAUAGGAAAAAUAGCUCAACCCUGAAGAAAAUUGGAAUAACCCUUAGCUGGCAUUUGUUCUGCAGAAUUUGGUCAGGAAAAAUAAUCUUACCUAUCGAGUUGAUUUAAAAUCAGAAGAUGGCACUUCGGUCAUUCUAGAAGGUACGACCUCAGCCAUUCCAAAGUCUGAAUGAAGCAUAUCUACUCCGCUCCCUUCAACGCCUGUCAUUCUAGGAGUUAAGGAUUACACAUUCACCUGUUGUACCUCUGAAUGUAUAAAUAAGUUUGUGUGCUUUUUUCCUGCCUUUGGGGGGUUAAGCAGAUAGAUUAGCCAAAAUUUAUAGAAGGAUUCAAUCUGUCAUCCACAUAUCCAUAAUGCUAAUUAACAUCGGGUAAGUUGUUCAUUUUUAAGUAUAAAUAAGUUAUAUAACCACUGAUAUGAUAUAAAUUUAUGUAUUAUGUAAAUUAUAUAAGUUGUGUAUUAUGUAAGUUAUGUAAGUUGUGUAUUACAUAAGUUAUGUAUUAUGGAAGUUAUGUAAGUUGUGUAUUAUGUAAGUUAUGUAAGUUGUGUAUAAUGUAAGUUAUGUAUAAUGUAAUUAAGUUAUGUUUUUCAAAUAUAAACCAAUAUGGCAUUUUUCUAAAAAAAAAUACUGAAUUUUAUUUAAAUAAUUUACAUUGUUAUUUUAUAUUAUAAAAUAUUAAUUUCGAAAGUGUCAAAAAUUAACUUUAGUUUUUAUCCAAAUAAAUAUUUAACUUGAAUUUGUAUCAAAGUAAUUUGUUUAUGAAAGGAUAAGAUUUUAUUUUUAUGCGAUUUAUUUUAUUUAAGAAAGUAGCGUAGUCCAAAAAAUUUUAUAUUAUUUAUAUUAUUAAAUUGUUUAGUCAUAUUGAAUAUUUAUAUUAAAAUUGAAUUAGAAAUUAUGCCAUAAAAUAUUCGUGUAAAAAUUUUAUAUUGAUAUCAAUUUCACAUUUUAUUUUUAAAAUUAUUUUUAUUAAAAAUCAUAUUUUUACAUUUAAUAUAUUUUUUAAUUCCAAAAUACAUAGUGACAAGAAUCUGAAGAUAAUUGAAAUAACUAAGCAAGCAAAAAAACUAACCAAUAUAUAAAAAAUUAAUAAAUAAAUUAUGAGGUGAUGAAAGUUAAUAAAAAAUUUAAUUAAGCUGGACAAAUUUUAUUACGAUAGGUGACAGUGGUUACAAGGACUCAAAAUUAUUUUUUAAAAUUUAACUCGAACAAAUAUAUUCGAUUCGAUUCGAUUCGCUUCGCUUCGAAUUCCAUCUCACUCGACUCGAUUCGAGAAAACUUCAAAUAAAGUUAGGAUGAUAAAAUGAGAUUCGAAAACUCGAUUAACUUGAAAAUUUUCGAUUCGAUUCGAUCGAAUGCUCAACCCUAGGAAGGUUGGUCAAAAAAGUUUUCAUACUUUUUUCAACCAGAUUAAGAAAAUAGCAUAGUCCAAAAAAGAUGGUUGGUCAAAAUCAAAAUCCCCUUAAUUAUCAUCGUUGCACAAAUAUUAUUUUGAAUUUUAAUAAAAUACAUAUUAAAAUAAAAGAAGUGCUAUUAUUUGUGUAAAAGAAUAAAAAAAUCAUAAAUUCAAAACAUAUCUAUCCUCUUAUUUAAAAUUUAAAACAGCCUCCAGGUAUUGUAUAGAAUAAUAAAAUAAAGUUAAUUGUCUGAAUAAAUAAAAUAUUUAUGUUUAUUUCUGAUUUAACAAUCAAUAUUCAUGUCUCUAUCUUCUUUUUAAAAAUCAUUUCUGAUUUUAUUUAAAACAAUGGAUUAAAAUCAUGUUUUUAUUUGAAGUUAGUUGUUGUAUAAUUGCAUGCCAUUCGGUUGAAUUUAGAUUUACAAUUUUCAGUAACAGCAGUGUGUAAAUGAUAGAGAAACAAAACAUGCUACAUAAAAUGGCUACACAAGAGAACAUGCUGUUCAUUGAUAAUACAUUAAGCUACACAAGCAAAAAUGGCUAGAGGAACAAAACAUGGUACAGAAACAGAAAAUAGAGAAACAAAAAACUGCUACAGAAACAGAAAAUUCCUUUCUAAGCUGCAAGAUUUGUUACCAAGUAAAAGAAUUGAAUUUCAAGAAAGAAAACCAAACAAAUAAAUAAAAUUUGUGAUUUAAGCAAAGUCUAGAUUUGAUUCAUCAGUUAACCCCAGUACUUUCAUCAAACAAUAAAUCUCUAAACCUAUGGAAAGAAACAUAAAGCAGACAGUCAGCAGCAAAAUAAAAUGAUAUUAACAAGACUGUCAAGAAAAUUCAUCCAAGACAGUAAGCAAAAUAAAGAAACACAAAGCAGACAGUAAGUCCUAAAAUUCAUCCAAGACUGUCAAGAUAAUCUAUGCUAAACUCCAACUCAUUUCCAACCUAUCGUCACCAACAACAAGACAUUUAUUCCAAACAAUUGAAAGCAUUACCUAUAUAAAACAAAUGAAAGCAUUACAGAAUACGUCCCAUAAACCGAGAAGACGAUGAUAAAGAUAAAUGAACACAAAAUUAACCGAGAAAUGAAAGCAUUACCUUGACGACGAGGAAGAUAAAUGAACGGAGCGAAAACCCUAUACACAGCGAAGACGAUUUCACUUAAUUUCAGGCUCAUCAACAAAUUGCAAACAAAAAAAUUUACAAAAACAAGAAAACCCAAAGUUUAAUUACACGGGCAAAGAAAAAAAUCGAACCUUCUUCGUCUUCUCUGUGUGGGUAUGUAAGUACGAAAGAAACCGAAAGAUGCGGCAGAGGAUGAAGUAUACAUUUAAAUUCAAGCCAUUUUGAUAGGAAUUUAUUUUAAAAUACAUAUGUGGACUCCCACCAAUGGAGCUAAGCUAGGAAUAUAAAGAAAAUUAUAAAAUCUUUCCUAAUCCCAACCAAAUAACCAACCAUCCAAUAAAUGCAAGCAUCCAGUAGCUAAAAAGACCCAACUCGACAGCCUAGUUAUUGCCUAACAUCACAACGGAGUUUCAGUCUUGAUUCUUUUAUAAAGAACCAUUUUAAUUGUAAAACCUUUUAAAUGUCUUUUAUAAAGAAUUUGGUGAGGAAAAAUAAUCUUACCUAUCGAGUUGAUUUAAAAUCAGAAGAUGGCACUUCGGUCAUUCUAGAAGGUAGAGUUUCUGGCCUUGGGGUACGACCUCAGCCAUUCUAAAGUCUGAAUGAAGCAUAUCUACUCCGCUCCCUUCAACACCUGUCAUUCUAGGAGUUAAGGAUUACACAUUCACCUGUUGUACCUCUGAAUGUAAAAAUAAGUUUGUGUGCUUUUUUCC